ACUGCCACAGGGGAAGGAUAUUUUUUGGAGGUCACUCCUCUUGGAUUCUUCUCAGCAAGCCCAGGAUAAGGCUUUGUACAUGGAUUUACCUCCCUUUAUUUGCUCAACAAAUAAGGGUUCGUCCUGGCCUUGCAGCAGCUUUACCUGCUAAAAGAAACCAAUUUCCCUCCUGGUUGAUGGGGGUCAAAAAGAAUGGGGGAGAGAAAUAUUGGAAGAGAUGGCAAGAAUAUGCUGGGGAAAAACAAAACAAAACAAAACACCUAGCGAAAGAUGGAGGAAAAGCAAUCCAGAGUAGACAGAGAAGCAUUAAGAGGGACAGUGCAUUGCUCUCUAAUGAUAAUACUCUGGUUCCUCCUGAAGAGCAGAUUUCUGCUUGGACAAACUACCUAAAGAUUACCUAAAAUCCAAGGUCUACAUGAGAAAUGGGCAUGGAAAAGCAGAAUGAAAAUUACAGAUCUACCCAUUCUGUGGCUUCCUCAGAGAAAUGGAGAAUGGAGGGCCAUGGUGGAGUAAAGACAUUGCCAGUUAAGUACCCCUAUUACUGAGACACGUCUGAGUCUGUAAAGUUAACCAGCAAGUUGGCACUGAGUUAGAACAUUUGUUUUCUGUCAAUAAAUAAUUAUCUUGCAUCA